AUUGAACGCUGGCGGCAGGCCUAACACAUGCAAGUCGAGCGGAUGAAGGGAGCUUGCUCCUGGAUUCAGCGGCGGACGGGUGAGUAAUGCCUAGGAAUCUGCCUGGUAGUGGGGGAUAACGUCCGGAAACGGGCGCUAAUACCGCAUACGUCCUGAGGGAGAAAGUGGGGGAUCUUCGGACCUCACGCUAUCAGAUGAGCCUAGGUCGGAUUAGCUAGUUGGUUGGGUAAAGGCCUACGAAGGCGACGAUCCGUAACUGGCCUGAGAGGAUGAUCAGUAAAACUGGACUGAGACAACGCUCAAACCUCCUACGGGAGGCAGCAGUGGGGAAUAUUGGACAUGGAGGGAAGGCCUGACCCGGACAGCCCGGGUGGGUGAGGAAGGUUUUCGGUUUGUAAAGCCCGUUAGGAUGGGAGGAAGGGCAGUAAGUUAGAACGUUGCUGUAUUGACGUUACCAACAGAGAAAGCAACGGCUAACUUCGUG
rnacentral:rRNA from 1 species